GAUUUGCGCACGGCUUCCGGGCGGGGCUGCGAGAUGAGGCUAAGGCUCGCGGUAGCUGUUCUCCAUACUCGCUGUUGCUGUGACAUUGUUGUCUUUGUCAUCCGCUUCAAUCCCAAUUUUCGCCACCUUUUCUUAAGCCCAGGUGGGAGUCAUGGCCGAGGUGAUGGUUCUUCAAAAUGGGAUAGCUUAUUGUCACAGAAGCUCUUCUGUAAGAUACGCUGUGUCCAUGAACCUGGCAAAUGACCUUGUUAGCUGCAGAGGGGGCAGCUCAGAUCUUCCCAGUUCCUGACAGUCACCUUCACCCAGCGGUUCCCAGCACAUGGCAUGAAGGUGUCUACCAUCCCUCCGUAUUUCAGCAUUCCCAGGAUAUCAGCUAGAGGAAAACUAUGAGAUGUUUUCUCCAGUGGCCGCCAGGUUGUUCCAUAGAAGCUGUGCCAGUGAUAAGAAUGUGGAUACCGAGUACGAGGCUUGUCCGUGUUGAUACACAUAAUGAGGAGUGAAGCAAAAUUUAAACCCAAGUCUUUGCACCUUAAUUGAGCAGGUUUGAAGCCUCAUGUGCCUCCCUCCAAGGAGGAGUCAGGAAUUUUCUGGUUCUUGGCCUCCUGAUGGGAGGUGGUAUGAGUCACUCAGACUUGGGCUACGGAUCUGACGGACAUUCUCUGACCCCCAGUUUGGGUGCCACAUUCUCUGCACCUGGAAUGAAGAGCCUUGCUGUACAUCAGGAUCAGACCUGGGCCCUUCUGGCAUUUCUUGAAUGGAAAACAAGGGAUAUUUAAUAAAUAAUGGUUUUAAAUGUGA